rnacentral:lncRNA from 7 species
AGCGCAAGUGCUAAGACAGGUGUAGUAUGUCGCCCACCAAGCUCAAGAGAUCACUUCACUAAAGGCAGACAUGGGAAAGUGUGUUCUCUUGAGUAAGAGGUCAAGAUACUUCGAGUCAAGCUAGAGGAUGUUGAGGACAACGCUUCAAAGUUGAUCGAGGAGAAAAAUGCUACAUGAGUCUCUCUCUCCUUGAAGGUCCAUGAGCGUAAAGAGUUCGAGACCGAUGUCCACAAUCUUCGUGAGAUUGUUAAGAAUAUGGUUUAGUCAAAUUAGGUAUGAUAUGAUGUUAUAGUUGUGUAUUCAAAUAAUAGUGAGUCUCUAUCCUCGAAGGUCUAGGAUCAUAAAGAGUUCGAG